rnacentral:rRNA from 1 species
ACGACUCUCGGCAAUGGAUAUCUCGGCUCUCGCAUCGAUGAAGAACGUAGCGAAAUGCGAUACUUGGUGUGAAUUGCAGAAUCCCGUGAACCAUCGAGUUUUUGAACGCAAGUUGCGCCCAAAGCCAUUAGGCUGAGGGCACGUCUGCCUGGGCGUCAC